GCCUUAUAGAGGGGGAUANCCCGGGGAAACCCGGGCUAAUACCGCAUAAUACUCGAGAGAGGAAAGUAGGGGACCGGAAGGCCUUACGUUAUGAGAUGAGCCUGCGUUGGAUUAGCUAGUUGGUGGGGUAAAGGCCUACCAAGGCGACGAUCUAUAACUGGUCUGAGAGGAUGACCAGUCACACUGGGACUGAGACACGGCCCAGACUCCUACGGGAGGCAGCAGUGGGGAAUAUUGGACAAUGGGGGCAACCCUGAUCCAGCAAUGCCGCGUGUGUGAAGAAGGCCUGCGGGUUGUAAAGCACUUUAGGCGGAGAGGAAGUGUAGCUGAUGAAUAGUUGGUUGCAUU
rnacentral:rRNA from 1 species